rnacentral:rRNA from 1 species
UACGUGAGGGGCGAACGUUGUUCGGUGUCACUGGGCUUAAAGGGGUGCGUAGGUGGUUGCGUAAGUAAGGUGUGAAAUCCCUCGGCUUACCCGGGGAAUUGCAUUUUAUACUGCGUGGCUUGAGGACUAAAGGGGAAAAGGGAACUCCAGGUGUAGCGGUGAAAUGCGCAGAUAUCUGGGGGAAGGCCGGCGGCGAAGGCGCUUUUCUGGUUAGUACCUGACACUGAGGCACGAAAGCGUGGGGAGCAAACAGG